rnacentral:lncRNA from 1 species
CGGGGCCCUAAAGCUCCCUGCUCCCCAGGAGGCCCAGACCCCACCCCACCCCAACCCGGCUCACAGGCCUGGGAAAUCUGCUGCCUCUGCCCUAGCAGGACAGCGGUGGGGACCUGGGUGGAGAGAGCAUCACAGAGGCUGCGUGGCUCUGGAAGAGGGAACUCAGGGGUGUUCGCAUCGCCUCUUUCAUAGCCAGAUGUUGGAAGCAAGAAAUUCCACUUCCGGUCUGCAGUGAGACCGUUGUCACACACGGUUCUCCAUGGAUGUGGACAGCGUGAUCAGAGCCCUGAGCUUUCUCAGACUGCAGCCCCAGAAGGAGGAGUCGACGUGCACCACUGUCCCUGCCUCCUGGAUGCGGCUCCGUGUGUCCAGGGUCCUGGCUUCCCAGCAUGCCUGGUGCCUAAGAUGGAGUCGGUGCACACAACUUCCUUGACUGAAUAAAUUGGUCAUCUGGGGGACUGAGGCACCAGC